GCGGUAGGGCUGCUUAGCAGGUACUGUGAUAUAGUAAUUGUAAAGUUAUAUUUUCGUCGGU
rnacentral:tRNA from 1 species